GUUAGAGGAGGGAGGCAGGUAGCCUAGUGGUUAGAGGAGGCAGGUGACCUAGUGGUUAGAGGAGGCAGGUAGCCUAGUGGGUAGAGGAGGCAGGUAGCCUAGUGGCUAGAGGAGGCAGGUAGCCUAGUGGUUAGAGGAGGCAGGUAGCCUAGUGGUUAGAGGAGGCAGGUAGCCUAGUGGUUAGAGGAGGCAGGUAGCCUAGUGGUUAGAGGAGGCAGGUAGCCUAGUGGUUAGAGGAGGCAGGUAGCCUAGUGGUUAGAGGAGGCAGGUAGCCUAGUGGGUAGAGGAGGCAGGUAGCCUAGUGGUUAGAGGAGGGAGGCAGGUAGCCUAGUGGUUAGAGGAGGGAGGCAGGUAGCCUAGUGGUUAGAGGAGGGAGGCAGGUAGCCUAGUGGUUAGAGGAGGGAGGCAGGUAGCCUAGUGGUUAGAGGAGGGAGGCAGGUAGCCUAGUGGUUAGAGGAGGGAGGCAGGUAGCCUAGUGGUUAGAGGAGGCAGGUAGCCUAGUGGUUAGAGGAGGGAGGUAGCCUAGUGGUUAGAGGAGGCAGGUAGCCUAGUGGUUAGAGGAGGCAGGUAGCCUAGUGGUUAGAGGAGGGAGGUAGCCUAGUGGUUAGAGGAGGGAGGUAGCCUAGUGGUUAGAGGAGGGAGGUAGCCUAGUGGUUAGAGGAGGGAGGUAGCCUAGUGGUUAGAGGAGGGAGGUAGCCUAGUGGUUAGAGGAGGGAGGUAGCCUAGUGGUUAGAGGAGGCAGGUAGCCUAGUGGUUAGAGGAGGGAGGUAGCCUAGUGGUUAGAGGAGGGAGGUAGCCUAGUGGUUAGAGGAGGCAGGUAGCCUAGUGGUUAGAGGAGGGAGGUAGCCUAGUGGUUAGAGGAGGCAGGUAGCCUAGUGGUUAGAGGAGGCAGGUAGCCUAGUGGUUAGAGGAGGCAGGUAGCCUAGUGGUUAGAGGAGGCAGGUAGCCUAGUGGUUAGAGGAGGCAGGUAGCCUAGUGGUUAGAGGAGGCAGGUAGCCUAGUGGUUAGAG